rnacentral:lncRNA from 1 species
UCUUCUUACUGGGCUUGUUCUUUCUCCUGGUGUUCUUCCCUGCCUCUUGUGUGCUGUCUCUUCUGGCAGGUGUAGGGCAGGUACUUCAGGGGUGAAACCCCAUCAGGAAUUUUUUUUUUUUUAAUUCUGAGUCCCUCAGUUUCCAAUUUCAUAAAGAUCUUAAUUGAAUUCAGAUAAACGGUUUAAAAAUCACCGGUUUUCUGUGUUCCCACUGUGAGAGUCUUACAUAACUGUUGUGAAAGACUUUCUGAAAGAGGGGUAGGCAUCCUUGCAGAAUUGUAAAGAGUUGAGAGAGGUCAAGAUGAACUUAAAAGACAGGAAACGCUGUGUACAGGUAUUAUUAGAAAGUUCUAUUCGGUGCUCCCUAUGGCUGGCCUGGGAGACUCAGGGUAGAAAGCGGUAAGAUGUAGGACUGGCAGAAUUAGCUGAAGCCAGAUCAUAACGGACCCUGUUUGCCAUGCGGAGAUCAUGCAGGCAAUAGAGAUCUAAGGAUUAAGUGGGAGAGAGUCUUGGUCAUGCUCUUCUGAAAGAGCACUGGCAAUGCUGCAGCAGGGAGUUGGAGAACAGUUUGAAGCUAGAGGUAGGAAGGCCAGCCUAAUUCUGACAGUGGGGUGAGCAAGCACUGAAUGAUUUCUAAACGUAAAACUGAUGAGAAAUCUGUGGGAUCUGGUGCCUGGUUUGGAAAUGGGAAAGUAAGAAGCAAAAGGGAGCUGGAAAAAUGAAGGCUUCUGACUGAAUAUAGAUGAUGCGAUUAAACUGAAGUUGAUCCUACCUGGAGAGGAACCAAUUUGGAGAGUCGGCAGGUGGGAACAUUGAUGUUACAUAAGACAUGUCAGUGGAGCAUAGAGUCAGAAGUGCCUGAUGUUCAGCAGAAAUCCAGGCUAGAGAUAAGGGUUUUGAAUCAUGUCCUCAGCAUGUGAAUGUUAGUUAAAGCCGUGACAAUGGAGUUCCCAUCGUGGCACAGUGGUUAACGAAUCUGACUAGGAACCAUGAGGUUGCGGGUUCAGUCCCUGGCCUUGCUCAGUGGGUUAAGGAUCUGGCAUUGCCGUGAGUUGUGGUGUAGGUCGCAGACGAGCUGUGUUACUGUGGCUCUGGCGUAGGCUGGUCAUGCAGCUCUGAUUCGACCCCUAGCCUGGGAACCUCCAUAUGCUGAGGGAGCGGCCCUAGAAAAG